UACGUAGGGUGCGAGCGUUGCUCGGAAUUAUUGGGCGUAAAGAGCUCGUAGGCGGUCUGUCGCGUCGGCUGUGAAAGCCCGGGGCUCAACCCCGGGUCUGCAGUCGAUACGGGCAGGCUAGAGUGCGGUAGGGGAGACUGGAAUUCCUGGUGUAGCGGUGAAAUGCGCAGAUAUCAGGAGGAACACCGGUGGCGAAGGCGGGUCUCUGGGCCGUAACUGACGCUGAGGAGCGAAAGCGUGGGGAGCGAACAGG
rnacentral:rRNA from 1 species